rnacentral:rRNA from 1 species
CCUACGGGUGGCAGCAGUGGGGAAUAUUGGGCAAUGGGCGCAAGCCUGACCCAGCAACGCCGCGUGAAGGAAGAAGGCUUUCGGGUUGUAAACUUCUUUUAAGCGGGAAGAGCAGAAGACGGUACCUCUUGAAUAAGCCAUGGCUAACUACGUGCCAGCAGCCGCGGUUAUACGUAGGUGGCAAGCGUUGUCCGGAUUUACUGGGUGUAAAGGGGGUGAAGCCGGGAAGACAAGUCAGAUGUGAAAGCCCGCGGCUCAACCGCGGAACUGCAUUUGAAACUGUUUUUCUUGAGUACCGGAGAGGUCAUCGUAAUUCCUUUUGUCGCGGUGAAAUGCGUAGAUAUCAGGAAGAACACCAGU